UAUGGAGUAAUAAAUCCAUCCAAAGGUGUCUCAUCGUGGUGAUCACACAUAAUUUACAAUAAAGAUAAGGUAUUGAUCCAAAACGCCUCUGCAGAGGCAUCACGCCUAUAUACGAUAAUAUUACUCGAGAAACAAAAAGAACUUCAUCUUCGUAUGCGGUUGAAAUAUCAGUCGCAUCCACCACAGUUCAAGCUCACAUGAACACUAUUGUUGUCCUCGUGAUAAAGCAGAAGGAUUUAGCCUGAGUAAGUGCAGCAUGGCAUAAAGUUCAGCACAAAAGCAGUCUGAUCAAUAGUAACAGAGCAUAUAUUCCAGUGCUAAAGAGUUUCAAAAGCAGACAUAGUGACAAUGAGGUUAAUAUUGAGUAGGCAAACCACAUACAGGGCUAACCCAAGAUUGCCUAAGUAGGCUAUUUUCCAUACAAAGCCACAAAAGUUUGAGAUAGCAUCUAGUAGUUUUAAUGCAACAUAAUAUUAAGAGGUAGGCAUUACUAAAGAAGGCAGGCCCUCGAAUAGAAGUUCACUCAAACAACAUACUCAGAAGUAGGCACGUGAGAGGCCUGUGAGAUUAACAAUAGAGAUAGUAUGAUAUUUUCAGGACAAUCACCAAUUCACAAUAACAAUCUGCAGAAGUAAAGGAUCAUGGAAAAUGGAAUCAGGCUUACACCGCAACAUUUAAUCGAGGUAGAUUAUACAACAGGGUGUGAUGUGAAGCUCACAUCUGUAAGAGCAUCUCUAGCAGACCCCGCAUCCCGCCGGCCUGCAAAACGCGUUUGCAAUUCCAAAAAAAGGCUUUGCGGGCCGGCGCGGACGGCCGCAGAUGUAGACCCCGCAUAAUGAACCCGUAAAAAAGAAUAUUCGCAUAUAUUCUUUCCCGUGUCUUCUUCUUCCUCUCGCCUGUGUUCAUAGCCAGCUCCCGUCGUCCAUGGUAGUCGCCGAAUCGAUCCAGGAGCUAACUCCUUCGUUGCUGGAUGGAUCCGGGAGCUAGCUAGCUAGCUUGUUCGUGGCCGGAUGGAUCGAGGACCUUGCUAGCUAGCUAGCUAGCUCGUUCGUGGCCGGAUGGAUCAGGAGCUUGCUAGCUAGCUCGUUCGUGGCCGCGUAGCUGCUCGAGUCUCCAGCCACUGCUCCAGCGAUCUACUCUGCAAGCCGACACCGCAGCAGCGGUAAACGGCGAGUUUCUGGCGAGAUUCCGGCGAGUUCCGUGGCGGAAGAUCACCGGAUCCCGUGUGCACACGGCGGAAUUUCCUUGUGCGUAGUGUUGACCGGUUUGCAGUCCCCCUUAUAUUUUGCCUCCAAAUCUACAGAAUAAAGGGUCAUGGGGAUGGAUUUUCAGGGGCCUGCAAAAUUUUUACGGGUUUGACCGCUUUUGCGGGGUCUAUUUGGGACGUUUUUUGACACCACGAAACUGAAAACGCGGAUUUUUAAGGGUUUGACCGCUUUUGCGGGGUCUGCUAGAGAUGCUCUAAGAAAGUUACAACCAACAGAUACAGGGCAGUGUAUGAUCGGAAUAAGAAGCAUAAACAACACAUGCAUUUUGGAGAGGGUAUUGAAGAUAAAUCAAAUCUAUCUGGUUCCUAACCAUUUAUGUGGGGUUACAUGAUGUAUUCAACAGCCAUGACAAUAGUGCGGGUAAUUUAAGGAUACAUAAUUAUACAGGGAAUUUAAGGAUAAAGAUUUACUUGUCUGCUGAGUGGGUUCAGAGCGACGAACGUGAAUGAUGUUAAGGAGGUCAACAGCCACACUGCCAGAUCACUGCAGUCAGAUCACUGCAGUUCCGUCACUCGACACCAUAACCGACGGUGGUGUCCUCUACUGGUUUGAUUCAAACUAUCAAUGGUAUGCCUCCUCCUUCCCUGCAUAAACAUCUGGGAAUAAAUUCAUCUACAGGGUCAAAAAUAGAUGAUGGAUUAACGCGUAUUCAGAACUUGGAACCAAGGAAAUUUUUCUACAACUGUGGAGUAAGCAGGACAAUGGCUGCAAGUAAAAUAGAAAUAUAUAAAAAAUUGGAAGUGGCAUUAACCUUGUGGGACAAAACUCACGCUUGAGUAACAAGAGCAUACGAAGGUGAGCUAAAAAAAUAACAAUCAUUCAACAGUAGCCAGGAGGACCAAGGACUAACUAAUGGACGAAGAGAAUUAUGUAGCCGAACUUUACUACAAAUAGGUAGCUAGAUAAGCUGUUAUAAAAAACGACCAUAAUUAGUAGCUGAAGGAUUGUUUCUUGAUUCCCUUAGUCCUGGCAGACAUGUGCACCAAUUGCCAGCUAAAUUGGGAGCAUGAUAAUAUUUUUUGGCGAUGAAUAAAUUACGUGAUGCCUUUCACUACUAAUAAAGUAGUUCUGGUGAGGAAUGAUUAAAAUAAAUGAAGUGCAGAUGAUAGCUUGAGUGUAGAACACUUUAGAAUAGACAAUUUCAUUCCAGUGGCAAUAUGAUAUGAUCAGCUGCAUAAUUUUGAGGUUUAUAUGCUUUGACUUACCAUGGUUUCCAUGCCUUCUGUCACAGCUUCCAAAAGCUUGUAAAGUAGUCACGAUCAUCUCAAUCAUCAUGGAGAACCUUGAUGGUAGAGUAGAAAUUACAAUGAGACUACCAUAGCUACCUCCCAGAUAUUUUGAUUAGGCCAAGCUUUCCAUUAGACGACGAGCAGCUUGAACCAUCUGUCAACCAAGUUAAUUUAAUGAUGCUUCCAUUGUUCUAAAUGGAGUGCGCCUAUUGACUGCAUUCAGGACUGCGUUCACUCUUCCUUCAAAAAAAAAUAUGCGAGGAGAUUCAGGUAACCUUGCAUAUCGGAUACAAAAUAUAUAGCAUUUAUAUCAUUGAAUCAUAUAUCAGUCACAAAAAAGAUCUAUUCAUUGAUAUAAUUAUUGGAUCUAUCUAAUUAAAAAAGGCAGCAAGCAACAUAAAAAUUCAUUAGAAAUAGAUGGUAUUGCAUAUAGAAAUCCACUCAAAAGGAAAAAGAAUUGAACAUACAAGAUUAGGUACAGGCAAGGAAAGAGUUUCAUUACUAAGAGAUCAUGCAUAACCAAUCUGUGUCAUCACAGAUGUAGCCUGCUCCAAAUCCUGUAAUUCCAAGUAGAAACUGUAACCUGCUCCAAAGGCUACUGCUUUGUGCUCUGUUUUAUUUACUGUGUGCUAUGAAAAACAAACAAAACAAAGACUCAUAGGCCCGGAACACACAAUAUUUUUUCGAUAAAGUUAACACUUAAUAGACACCAGUUAAUUACCAAAUUUAUCAUCAUUUCUGGUGAACAAUAUAAACAGCGGACUCAUAUAUGGUUUUGGUAUGUAAGUAAUUAUCUCCAUAAGAGCUUCACACGCAUGCAGAUAGCAGCGUAGUAAUUCUCUAUCUCCAUAAGAGCUAGCUUCAGUUACAGUAUCAAUGAUUAGUUUGAUACACAUGAUAUUUAGGAUCAGACCAGAAAGCGAAUGGAAGAACAUCAUGUAUUUUUAGAGAAAAUCAAUUGCUCAACCACAUCAAUUAGAGAAAGCGAAUGGAACAACAUCAUGUAUUUUUUAGAGAAAAUCAAUUGCUCAUGUAUAGGUGCACAUCAGCAGGGAAAACUGGAAGGACAAAAAAAGGAAGGAAGAAUUAACUUUUCCACGGCGGCAACCGAGCAAACGGUGGACGACAGACGGCGGAUGCGAGGCGUGCGGUCAGAACUGGAACCAACUGCAACACGAUCAUGAAAUCAUCCCGGCCAGGAGGAACGGCCGUGAGAAGGAGGAUGGAUGGAAGGGACCACGUUCCUGGCCUUCUUGGUCGG
rnacentral:lncRNA from 1 species